GCGGGUGGGAGCUGGCCUGAAGAGGGGAGCGGGCCGUACCUGACUCGCGUGUGCUUGCAGCGGGCUCGCACCGACGAGGUGCCUGCCGGAGGAAGCCGCUCCGAGACGGAGGAUGAGGACGACGAGGACUACGUGCCCUAUGUGCCGUUACGGCAGCGCCGGCAGCUACUGCUCCAGAAGCUGCUGCAGCGAAGACGCAAGGGAGCUGCGGAGGAAGAGCAGCAGGACAGCGGUAGUGAACCCCGGGGAGACGAGGACGACAUCCCGCUAGGCCCUCAGUCCAACGUCAGCCUCCUGGAUCAGCACCAGCACCUUAAAGAGAAGGCUGAAGCCCGCAAAGAGUCUGCCAAGGAGAAGCAGCUGAAGGAAGAAGAGAAGAUCCUGGAGAGUGUGGCCGAGGGCCGAGGUAUGGUUGUAGCCAGGAUAGUGAGAAGGUGGACUGAGUCUCCUCCUCCCAGGCCCAGGCAUGUUAUAUCUCAAGGGAUCUGGCUUCUCAGAAGCAGGAGCCAGCCCUGAACCAUGUCUUUCUUCUCAGCAUUGAUGUCAGUGAAGGAGAUGGCUAAGGGCAUUACGUAUGAUGACCCCAUCAAAACCAGGUAUGUCUGUACAGUCUGCAGUUGCCCUUGCUUAGCAUGGUACAUGCAGGGAUGCUCCCAGGCCAGCUAUUCCCAGGGCUCUCUUGAUCCCUGUUACCCAUCCACAGCUGGACUCCGCCCCGUUAUGUCCUGAACAUGUCUGAAGAGCGACAUGAGCGCGUGCGGAAGAAAUACCACAUCCUGGUGGAGGGAGACGGUAUCCCACCACCCAUCAAGAGCUUCAAGGAAAUGAAAUUUCCUGCAGGUAGUCAGAGGCUGGAGAGAGAUACCACACUUUUAUAAUCAAAUGCCUGUGAGGUUAUGUCCUAGCUCCCACUGAGCUCAGCCACAUCUGCAUUGGAUCCAGUCACUGGGGCUGGAGGGAUUUGAGGAGAAGUUUCUUUAGGUUCCUUGUUGCCCCAGCUGUACGUGUUCAUUGUACUCUGCUGUUACAAAGCUUCAGGAGGAAAGUGCCAUUGGGCAUAGACACUGGGUACAAAUCUUGGCUGCACCUAGCCUGUGGGCCUUGGACAAGUCUCUUUUUUUCUUUUUUUUCUCCACUCUGUCUCUCUGAGCCUUAGUUUCAUCAUCUGCAAUUUGUA
rnacentral:sRNA from 1 species